GCUGGGUGCGGUGGCUCACGCCUGUAAUCCCAGCACUUUGGGAGGCUGAGGCAGGUGGAUCACCUGAGGUCAGGAGUUUGAGACCAGCCUGGCCAACAUGGUGAAACCCUGUCUCUA
rnacentral:SRP_RNA from 2 species